AUCGAAAGCCUUGACCUUUCUUGUUUCAGUGCUCUUCGGAUCGCGUUGAAAAAUCAAACCGAUCGUUACGUGUAUCUAUGGUAUUAUUACGACAGCUGCGUAAAGCGCACCCCGUUCGACGCGUCGCUCCUCCCGAGCUACUUCUUAGUGCACGAUCUGCGUGGGCCAAUGCCAAUGAACCAACCAGAGAAACCAGCGUACGAUCUAACCACGUUAUUGGAUUUGGAUAGAGCAAGCCUCCCUCGUAGAAACCAAGGUGACCACCAUGUGCCACUUCUACGUACAAGAUAUUGGAAUGUUGAGCUGUAAUAAGAUUACCACCGAGGCUGAACCCUACGCAAACUAUUUGGGUACUGGGAUGUUUCUCGAUCAAACUUUGCAGCAUAAUGUGGUAAUCUUCCGUGUGCCCUGUGGAAAUUGAAACCAGAAUUGUACCAACAAAUGUAAACGUUUCAAGGAUAAUACUUAUGACUAGAUCAAUGGGUCGACUUACCGUAGGU